UACCUGCGCGGAGGGGGGUGCGUCGGCCUGCGCCGCCGCGGCGGGGGGAGUUGUCGCCGACGCCGAGGGGGACGGCGCGGCGGCGGGCUAGAGCGCGGAGGGCAAAGGUGGCGGCGCGGUGGGUGGAGGCUUGGGUGCGGGCGAGGACGGGGGCGGGGUCGAGGGCGGGGGCGGGGGCGGGGUNNNNNNNUCGGGGGUUGAGGCUAGGGGCGAUGGCGCGCCGGCGGCCGCGGAGCGUACUCCGGCGGCAUGUGGGUGGAUCGGAGCGGGUAGUGCUACAGGAGGAGGAGGAGACGGCGGUGUCGUCCCCGGAGGAGGCGCCGAAGACGUUACCGUUCCCCUCCCCAACGCUAACCCAACGGACGCGUGGGCGCACCCCGCGUCUGGGGCUACCCGAUAUGCCCCAAGCACGGCGGCGGCGGCGAGCGGGUAGUUAAGUCGGGAUACGUAGCGCCGGGGCUGGUCCGGGGCGACGGGUGAGGUGUCGAAUCCGUUGGACGGGGCCCCUAGGUCUUAUAACCCUACUAACCAAGGGAAUUGCGCAGAGUCUACUCUGGUCCUCGUCAUAGACCAAGCGUUGUCGGUUCCGGUCCAGAAGGUAGUAGUCGCUGUGGUAGAAGCAGACCAUCGGUUUACGGUCCAAGUGUUUUUUGGGGGUACGUAAGAAAUUGUUCUGGUUACAGAUACCCAAGGGGACGCUGCCGAAAUGUCGUUUGAGGCCGUUUAUACAGAAGUGGUAAAUCCGGUGUUGUUUCCGGUGUUCAAGGUGUUGUUUCCGGUGUUCAAGGUGUUGGUUCCGGUGUUCAAGGUGUUGGUUCUGGUAUGGUACGACGUGUUAGACGUGGACAUUGAAGAGUUGUCUUACGUGAAAGUCCUGUCGUCGUCGAUGGAGUCGUCGUUGGAGUCGUAGUCGUAGUCGUCGUCGUUGUCGUUCAAAACGUCGUCGUCGUCGUCGUCGUUGUCGUUCAAAACGUCGUCGUCGUUGUUGUCGUUCAAAAUGUCGUCGUCGUCGUCGUCGUUGUUGUUGUUGUCGUCGUCGUUGUCGUUGUCGUCGUUUCAGUUGGUGUCUCAAGGAGUGUCGUUUUAGUCGUUUUAUGUUGUGAUUUUUUGGUCGUCGUUCGACGAGCCUGAGGACAGAGUAACUGAGUCUUCGGACUAAGAGGUCGGUGUGAUGUUCGAUGAUUAUACGUCGAACACCUGUACCGAAGACGGCUACGUCGAAGACCACUUAGGUCAUUAGCCGAUGAGAGGUUCUCCUCAUAAGUACUAAAUGAACGUGUCUAGCUGGGAAGCCUUUCCGACCUAGGACUGCAACUUCUACAAGAAUAACUGUAACGUCUUCUAAAAUAACUUAGACAGCCUUGUAAACGAACAAGAAAUCGUUUCGUAUCUUUCAGCUGAUGAAACCUUCGGUUUCUACAUGAGGAAGUACGUCUCUCUUCGACCUUAUAGUGGAACGGUCCAAAGUGGCCCCUACUUUAUUUUGAUAUGUUCUUCGGCGUACAGUUGCUAUAAGUGUCCCUCUCCGAAUGAGACUAGUUCUUCAGUUACCGCUCACUUCCCUUGUAUUUCUGGAGACGACGGGUUAGAUGUCGGUUGGUCUUUUUAGUCCGAGGUUUCGGUGGACGGUGUCCAAGAGGCACU
rnacentral:rRNA from 1 species